rnacentral:lncRNA from 1 species
UUGUCAUUCUUUUUAAUUACUAUUGCCUAGUUUUUUUUUUUUAUUAUUAUUAUGAUAAAUGUUAAUAAUUUAAAAUAUUUAAAGAUGAAUAGAAAAUAUAAAAGUAAAAUGAAAUUAAAGGUUUAAUGUUUUUCUUUCAUUUUUUAAUCAUUGAUUCUUUUUAUUUUGUAAUUGUUAAUUUAUCUUUUCAUUUCUUUUUAAUUUCUA